rnacentral:tRNA from 1 species
GAGGAUAUGGCUCAGUGGUAGAGUGCUUGCUUAGCAUGUAUGAGGUCCUGGGUUCAAUCCCCAGUAUCUCCA